rnacentral:rRNA from 1 species
UACGAGGGGGGCAAGCGUUGUUCGGAAUUAUUGGGCGUAAAGGGUGCGUAGGCGGUGCGGUAAGUCUGUUGUGAAAUCUCCGGGCUCAGCUCGGAGUCUGCAUCAGAAACUGCCGUGCUGGAGUGUGGGAGAGGUGAGUGGAAUUCCCGGUGUAGCGGUGAAAUGCGUAGAGAUCGGGAGGAACAUCCGUGGCGAAGGCGACUACCUGGACCAGCACUGACACUGAGGCACGAAAGCGUGGGGAGCAAACAGG